CUGUUCUGAGUCUUAGUCCUAAGCUCCACCUUACGUGGGGUUCCUGGUGGGUACUGGGGUAUAGUACAUACUAAUGGACUAAUUGCUGGGAGCUAUCUCUGGGCCUCAGGUCCGGCCUCUGGAAACAGGGAUGCUAAGUCCGCUCUCAGCUUUCCGGUUGUUAACUCCAGAGCAGACCGCCUGCCACACCAGGGAAGUCAUCAAAGGGACAGAAAUAUCAUCAGGAUGGGUAACACAGCAGUUCUGCUUAAUGUAAAACUUUGCCCUCUUGGGGAGGGGGAAGAGAGAGGGAAUGGUUCCGGAGUCUCCGGAGGAAUGCUUCGGGAGGCAUCCUGGUUUCCCCGCUGGUACAGCCUUCCCGGCAGGCCCUAUUAAUAUGCACCACAGUCUUGGUCCACUGGUUACCAGGGCAGCCUGAGGCAUGGGGCAGGCACGCGCUCUGGAAAUGCUGCAGGCAGGGCUGAUGAGGCUCGGGCUGGGGGGCUCCGCUCAGGCCGGCCGCAGCCCACAGGAGCCAGAGAGGCUUUCCUGGAGCCCAGGCCUCUCCAAGAACUCUUCAAUCGUACUUCCAUAACCACGAUAACCGAAAAGGCAGCAGUGUAUUCUGGGUCAUCUGAAUGACUUCCUGAUGACCAAGUACUGCCGCCAUCUGAGUCCCAGGCUGUUUGCAUUGACCCUGGCAGACGGCACCAACCUUCCUUCUUAUGAGCCCAUAAGGGGUAGGCUCAGGAAGUGAGUAGAGGCUGUCCCAGCACCCUGUGUGGGUGGUGGGGAAUUUCAACCACACCCCAAUGGACGUGGGCCAAUUUCAAAGGAACCAUUUAGAAGGCAGCCCACAGAAGGGUUCAUCCACUCACCCGUCCCACUGCGCAGGCCCUGCAGGGACGUCACUGGGAACACCGCCGUAGGGACCUUUGAGAACCCAGCGAGAACACCAGUAAAAACCGUCCCCCCUAAAUUGACUUCUUCAGGAUUCUGGACAUUAACUAAAGGCUUGCAACAACCAGGGGGUGUUUAUUUAAGAAAAGCGAAUGGUUCUCAGCACCAGUGAGCCUUGGGGCAUCAUCACUUGCCCUCUUGCCAGACCCUGACCCCAACUCCCAGGUGCCUUGCAAAUCAGCAGCCGCAAUUGGGACAAACCAGCACUACGGCAGCCCCGGAAGGGUCAAGAGGGGGUUGGAGCUCUUUCAAAGCCCUGCAUUCAGAAAACUCAUUUGUCACAUCCAGCAGUUCCCUGGAAAACCCCCACUGCCAAGUCUUGGUUUUAUUUGACCCAACCGCUGUUUCCCAUGGUGUCUGUUAAAAACAGUCGGCAGCCAUUUAUUUGACAUUGGGGCCAACAGCAAGCUAACAAAACAGCCUAAAAAAAAAAAAAAGAAAAAGAAAGAAAGAAAAGUGUUGGAAAAGGAGGUGUCCAAGGGGCCUUUGAAAAGGCAGCAGGCUCCUGGGAGCCCAGAACACCACACGCGUGGCCUGCACCUGCUCAUGAGAAACCUCAACCAGAAGGGGCGGGGAAGGGCCGAAGGAGAAACACUCUGCACCCAGAACUCUACAUCCAACAAGGCCUUCCUGGAAAGAUGAAGAGCAACAAAACCUCCAGAGAAUUCAGGGCUGGCAGACCUGCUCGCAAGAAAUGCUGGAGGGAGUCUCAGGCUGGAACCAAGGAAACUGGAUGACUACAGAGCACCGGGAAAGGUCGCUACACAGGGCGGCUGGGAAGCAAACCAGAACAUCAGCACACCACAGGUGACUACCAACCACCUCCCAUCGGCACCUCAAGGGAAUGAACUCGUUGUCACUGAAAUCUGGAGCUGCGGCACCACGUUUGGAACACACAACACGCUCAGUCCAUCCAGCACGUCAGUCAACUGCCUGCGGAUGGGAUCAACGCACUGGGGAGCAGGCCCGGCCCGGCCUGUAGUAUCUCCAAGGCUCAAGGUUGGAUGCAAGCUCUGUUAAGGGUGCAGGUUUCCCUGCUGUGUUCAUGACACGCAGAACAGUCUCACUGUAUGUUAACUGACAUUUAAAGAAAAACUUGGAAAAAAAGGAACGUAACUAUCGGAGUGACUAGGUGAACAGCACCACAUAAAGGAAGCCCAGACCACCUCCAGACAGGGCCCGGGUCCUCCAAGGAUCACUUGGUGAGAGCUGGCUUCCGGCACGAACAUGGUGUUCAAAGUUCCCAUUUACACAGAAAUUCUUUUCAGAUGAAAAAGGCUGCCCGGGUGAAGUGGAUCCAGAUUUAACAAAGUCCCACACACGGAGGACCCAUGUAGAACACAAGGCCUAAGAAUAAACUCUGUUAAUGAGAAA